GACGAACGCUGGCGGCGUGCUUAACACAUGCAAGUCGAGCGGAGCGGCGAACGGGUGAGUAACGCGUGAGUAACUGCCCCCCUCCCUGGGAUAACAGUUGGAAACGGCUGCUAAUACCGGAUAGUGGGGGAUGACUCGCGGCCUAUCAGCUUGUUGGUGGGGUAGUGGCCUACCAAGGCGACGACGGGUUGCCGGCCUGAGCGGGCGACCGGCCACAUUGGGCUGAGGGACGGCCCAGACUCCUACGGGAGGCAGCAGUGGGGAAUAUGGCACAAGGGGGGAAACCCUGAUGCAGCAGCGCCGGGUGCGUGAUGACGGCCUUCUGGGUGUAAACCGCUUUCAGCCAUGACGCGGUAGUGGCAGAAGAAGCACCGGCUAACUACGUGCCAGCAGCCGCGGUAAUAC
rnacentral:rRNA from 1 species